UUUCCGUAGGUGAACCUGCGGAAGGAUCAUUAAUGUAACCGGACCGUUCCUUUGCCGUAAAACGCACUGGAUUGGGAAGGGAGAUAUCAUACACCCUAUGUUUAUUUACUCUUGUUGCUUUGGUGGGCCGUCCUUUACGGCGUCGGCCUCGGCUGAUCGCGCCCGCCAGAGGACCCAAACUCUUUUAUUAGUGAUGUCUGAGUACUAUAUAAUAGUUAAAACUUUCAACAACGGAUCUCUUGGUUCUG
rnacentral:misc_RNA from 1 species